GGCCUGCAGCUUAUUGCUGACCGCGUCUGUGAAAUCAAAGCAGAAUUGUAAAUCAAAUGGCUCAGUACUAAACUUACAUAAAAGAAACUAGCUAGAAUGUGACUGCAAUGCUGUCAUUAAUAGUCUAAGUCAUCACUGCUAUGUUAAAACUGAUCAACUCAGUGAUAAUGGUCCCCCCCAAAAAAAGAAAACAUACUCCCUUUAAUAUCACAUCCAGUCCCAGCAGUCAUUGUGAAAACAGGAGAUAUUGAGAUGUAUAACGCACAGCAAUAAUUAGAUUUAGAAGCAU